rnacentral:misc_RNA from 1 species
AACUCUCAACUCCUAAUGGUUUUUUCGGAAACUGUUAGUUGAUGUUGGAUGUGAAUGUUGCUGGCUUUCGAGUCGGCUCGUUCGAAAUGAAUUAGCUGGAUCCCUCUUUAACUUGGUUCCACUCGGCGUGAUAAGUAUCUUCGUCGAGGACAGUUGACUUCGGUUGGCUGGCCAGGAUAGAUUGGUUGAACUGCUUCUAAUCCUUUUCGUCUCUUUAUUGAGAAGAAAAACUUUUAUG